GCACUUUCUUUGCUAUCAAUUCCCUCGAUUCAUUACAGGGAGCAAAAAUGAUCCUGUGGCUGAAUAUAAUGCCCUUGUUAGUGCUCCUUCAAGGAGUCCAGUCUCAAGUCCAGUUGGUGGAGUCUGGAGGGGAUGUGAGAAGACCUGGGGAGUCCCUCCGUCUCUCCUGCCAAGCCUCUGGAUUCACCUUCAGCAGCUACUACAUGCACUGGGUGAGACAGGCUCCAGGGAAAGGACUGGAAUGGGUGGCCAUCAUACGUACAGGAUCAUCUCCUUCCAUUCACUACUCUGACAAAGUCAAGGGCCGCUUCAUCAUCUCCAGGGAUGAUUCUCGCAGCCAGCUGUAUCUGCAAAUGAACAGCCUCAAACUAGAGGAUUCAGCAGUUUAUUACUGUGCGAGAGUUUGGAAUGUCUUCCUGCCUUUAUGGGGUCGCUUGGUUACUCCUGCUGCAAUUUCAUAUCAAAGAAAUUGA